GCCGGGCCUCAUCCGCGCCUGCGGCCUCCGACCGCGACCGGGCGGACUCACCGCCACCUGCAGCUCGCGGCCGCUGCCGAGCCCCCUUGGCGGCCAUGCCGAGUACGGGCUGCCGAAAGCUCGCUCCCUGACAGCGGACAAAACCGGAGCGGUGCCGAAGCCGACGGCCGCCAUGCCGGUUGUGGGCACGGGAGCCCGCCCCACGCAAGCGGCCGUACGCGCGAUGUUCGCAAGGACGCAGCCGCGCCGCCGCCAGGCCUGGCCCUGCCCCGGGAGAGCCGCAAGGGAAGCGGCUGGAAAAGAGACACGGUCGGGAAAAGCGUUUUGAACCGCGCGUUGAAUAGCUUUGAAAAGGGCGGGGAUGUAAGCUGUGCGGGGAGAGAAUGGGAGAUCACAUUCUCCGGAGGUUGACCUGUCAGCCGCGGCCUUCCCACUGCAGGAAAUCUCAGCAGAGGUCAAAGGUACGGCUCAGGCUCCAGCUUACUACGCGGAAGAUACACACAAAGGGAAACCAAGGUACUUGAAGCCCACACCACCUUCCUAGAGGCACUGCGAUAACACAGCGUUAGGUUCAGCAAGAUGUGGGCCACAUUUUCCAGGUUGGUAACAAGCAGAGAUGCUGCUUGGGCACCUGAGAACAACUGACAAAGCUCUACCGAAGAGUUACAUGCAAGAGUUGGUUUAUUUCCUUUCGAAAGAGGAGCUGCAUCUCUGCCACCUCCUUGCAGCUCAGUGCCUUGUCACAGGACUGAAAGGUCAGCCUGUAGCAGAGGCUCUUCCGUCCAGUCUCUGCCUGCUGGAAACUGUCGAUUAACUGGAUGGACACAACCAUUUCACCUGACACCUGCCUGGCAAUGGUGUGAAAAGCAACUUCCUCAAACUGUUCCCCAUCAGGAAGCCAGAAGCUGACAUCAUGCACAUAGGAAGGUGGAUAGAGAGAAAAACUCUUGAAAAGUCGUAACUUUCCUCUAGGAAAUUGACGGAGGAACCGUGUGUCUGAUGUCCAGAGCAUUCUCCAGUCAGAUAUUCCACAGAUCAGCAUGGCUAAGAGAUCAAGAUUCAAUGAAACAAAGACAACAGUCAACUCACCACUUACUAGUUCAUAAUGAUGUGUCCUUAUAAUGCCUACACAGGAGCCCUUCUCACAGGCCUGUGAAGCAUCCAUCUCCAUCCAGAUGAGGUACUGGAUUUUACUAAGCUGAGAUUCAAAAGCAGCAAAGUCAUUUAGCUCAGUUGUUUCAAAGCUCGUUGCUUCCUGCAGACUGAUAUUCAGCUUCAAGGUGGAAACAGUCUGAAGAAGAGAAUGUAUGCUGGUUUUAAUGUUAUUCACCAACACCUGGAUAUAGCUGCUCUCUGUACCCCUGUUAACUGCAUAUGCAAGAACCAUCUCAUGAAAAACAGGCAUAGAGUGAGGAGUGAUUAGACACUUCCUGAAAACUGGGCCAGAAAGGACAUAAAGUGUCCCUGGGAGAAAGGCUCCUCUGUGUAUCAUUGCCUGAGCAUAAGGCAGAAGGGAAGGUCUAAGACAGUACUGUUUUGAAAAGUGGCAUCCCUCUUGUACGUUCAGCCAGCCAUCCUUUUCUGUGUCCCUGCAGAAAUCAACACAGGAAAACACAACUGCAUUUGCCAGUUCUUUAGACCUUUCCUCGGUGCUUGGAUUCUCCUCUGGGCUCAGAACGACCCAAAAAAUAUUUGAGUUACAAACACCAUCAAGGUGAUCUCGGUGAAGGAGAGAAUGGCAGCAGUCAAUGUUUUGUAAUGCAAAGGCUUGGCUGAGCUCUGCAGUCAGCUUCUCCUUUACUGUCCGUAUUGGAUGACUUGAAGGUUGUUCUAGGAAACCCCUGUGAAAAAUAAAAGUGCAAAUUAUGGGCACCACUGAACAGAUUUCCUUGAAAAGCCUUCCUGUGAUCAUAAUAUGAAGGAGGGAAAAUUCCAUCUCAACAGACACCUGUGUUGGGCAUUCCCACUGAGAACAGUGUUACUGCCAAAAAGAAACUAAUUAUAAAACUUACCUAUUAAUUUUAUCCACAAGUACUUGUGGUACUUGAAAAGAAACUUUUUGGCUUUCCAGUUCUAUCUCACAGGUCAUGGGUUUGGAAUAUGGAAGUGGCAUGCUCCGUGUGAAAAUGUGGUUUAAAGCUCCCUCUACACAGAAAGAUUUAUCUUGACUCCUGGCAAUACACAAGAGCAGAGCAAGGUCACUGUGCAGUACCUAGAUUGAAUUUAUCACAAGUAAGUAUUACACAGGUAACUCUGUGUAACAAACACACCUGUGGAAUCACAGGGCUUCUUUUUACUGGGCAGGAGAACAAGUUGCACAGAAAGGUUGUGCUCUCUCCAUCCCUGGAGACUGGAUGUGUCUGGAUCAACUUGCUUUAGCUGGACCUGCUUUGAGCUCUGGCAUAGGACUAGAUGAUCGCUGGAGCUCCCUGCCAACAUCCACCACUCUCUGAUUAUCUGCUAAGUAGAUACAAAUAUCACAGUCCUCCUGCUGUCUUUAGGCUGAGACUGACAUUUGUUCUGACCAUUUUGAUCUUUAAAAUAAUCUCAUUUUUAGAGGGUACUUUGGCAAGAAGCUUGCCUUUUUAUCUUGGCUAUUCUGCUUACAGGCAAAAAACCCUGUAAAAAUGUAGCUAUUUUUAGUAACAUUUAAAGGGAGUUAUUCCCUCCAACAAGCAAGAUACUAAAAGCACAUCUCAGUGCAAGGAGUUACAGGAGCAGGUGUAUCAGCUUUCCAGUUUUGGCACAUGAUGGUUACCUGUAGCCUGUACACUUAUAUCCAUGGAUAGUCUCUGCUUUAAAAGGAUGGACAUCACUCAGGAUAAACCCAGCUCCUGCUGCCACAGCCACUAUUUGCCAGCUGUUGUGCCAUUCUCUCCUUGGUUGAUCAGCAGGUGUCCCACCUUGUCCGUUGCAAAGAGCCACAUGAAUCUCUCCCUCCUCGGUCAGCACUUCUGCAGAGCUGGAAGGAAAGCAAGGCAACAGCAAAAAUCCUGAUGGCACACUCAGAAAUGUUACAGUGCCAGAGAAAGGCCUGAAACGCACCCAGCGACGUGCAUCGAGCAGCCAGUUACCACAGGGCUGGGUUACUCACCUACGGAAGAAGUGUGCAAGCAGCUCUCUGUUCCUCACUACCCCAGCCUUCCUCCCACAGUGAGGGAAGUUGAAAUAAAUACCAUCAAAUUCUCGCUUUUCUGGUACAAAGUAGUCCUUCAGCUUGGCGCAGUCCACAGAAAACAUAACUUCAGCUCCUUCAAAAGUAAACGGAAAACAAGACUCUGACACUUACCACGACAGAAAAUGCACAGAAAGGAGCAGCUCAAGUCCUCUGGCCCGGCUGGAGCAGCCGAGAGCAGCGGCUGACAGGCGCCGUCCCACUGCUGUGCGCCAGAGGAGCAGACAGCCCAGGCUGCCUCUGCUCUCCCGCAGACCUCUGCUAACCGGCUGCUUGCUGCAGCACUGCUUCGGUCUGAUGAGGUUCUGAUUUAACCUCUCGGACGCUCCAGUUGCUCGUGGCAAGAGCGAUCUUCCGAGGAGCUCGGCGUGGUGAAGGGCUACACAGUGACGGGCCGGCUCCUCGAAGCAGCCGAGGCGUGCGGCUCGAGUGCCGUCCCUCGGCCGUUACCAGAAGCGCGGCUGAAGCCAAGGGCCGAGUCCCGGCCUCCCGCGUCGUUUGGCCCGAGGGCUCCCGCUGCCGCCGUCCCUUCCCCGCGGCCGGCUCGGCCCCGCCGGCGCCCACCCACCUCUCUCCCGCAGCCGACGGAUGUUCUCCGCGGCUCGCUCCCGGCCGGACACCUCCUCCUCCCUCUCGUAGCAAGUGGCCACAACGUGUGUCCCCGCGGCUUCGCACAGGGAGGCUGCAAAGGAGAAGUUGCCCUCUCCGAGCAGCAGGACGCGGCGCACCGGCCCCAUGGCCGCCGCCAGCCCGGAGCCCGGCACCUGCAGAGCGCCGGCGCUCCCCUAUGACGAAACGUCG